rnacentral:antisense_RNA from 1 species
AGAUGGGGAUCUCACUCUGUUUCCCAGGCUGGUCUCAAACUCCUGGCUUCAAGCAAUCCUCCUGCUUUGGCCUCCCAAACUUCUGGGAUUACAGAUAUGAGCCACCACGGCUGGCUGACAGGCACCAAAUUCUAGGAGAGGACUUCAAUAGACUCCCAAGGAGGCAGCAGAAACUGGGGUAAUCACAACGGUCAACAGCAGCAAAGGCAGCACUUUCUGAUUUACUUGACUGCUAUGGAUGCCACCUAUCUCCACGCCUCAGUUUAAUAUCUGACAGGAGGUGUCCUGGUGAUCAGCUGGAGCUCUGGGGAGCUGUUGCUGAAAUUAACUUGAGUGCUUUGGAGAGAGAUUUACAUGGCAGAGUGGAGCCAGGGCUGCUCCUUUGGCAGGCACUGCUGUGCCACUGUGGAGGCGCCCCUGCUUUUCCCAUGCUUUGCAGUGUCUUUAAAGGCCUUUGGAGCCAUGCCCAGGCUCAGCCCCAUCCUGGUGUCCCCCUGUGUCCGUUUUGCCACUGCCCGGCUACUUCACUUGGCCAUGGGCCUUACCAGCUUGCAGACAAACCCGUCCAUCUACGCCUCCCAGCGCAGCUUGGCCCACUUGCAAGCACUUACAGAGGGUUUCAGAAGGAACAUGUCUGCCAUCUGUGUUUGGAGACUGUGUCCCAGACUUUUGAGCUCACAUUAGUCAUGGCCACAGACGGGACUGGAGUCCUGCCCACUGGAGUCCCAAAGGUCUCUGGUGUUUGUUUU